UGGGGAAUAUUGCACAAUGGGCGCAAGCCUGAUGCAGCCAUGCCGCGUGUGUGAAGAAGGCCUUCGGGUUGUAAAGCACUUUCAGCNAGGAGGAAGGUGGUGAGCUUAAUACGCUCAUCAAUUGACGUUACUCGCAGAAGAAGCACCGGCUAACUCCGUGCCAGCAGCCGCGGUAAUACGGAGGGUGCAAGCGUUAAUCGGAAUUACUGGGCGUAAAGCGCACGCAGGCGGUUUGUUAAGUCAGAUGUGAAAUCCCCGGGGCUCAACCUGGGAACUGCAUUUGAAACUGGCAAGCUAGAGUCUCGUAGAGGGGGGUAGAAUUCCAGGUGUAGCGGUGAAAUGCGUAGAGAUCUGGAGGAAUACCGGUGGCGAAGGCGGCCCCCUGGACGAAGACUGACGCUCAGGUGCGAAAGCGUGGGGCAGCAAACAGGAUUAGAUACCCUGGUAGUCCACGCUGUAAACGAUGUCGAUUUGGAGGUUGUGCCCUUGAGGCGUGGCUUCCGGAGCUAACGNGUUAAUCGACCGCCUGGGGAGUACGGCC
rnacentral:rRNA from 1 species